AGGAAACCAGGACGGGGCUGAGGAGAUGAGCCGCCCCGAGUCCUCCUCGGGCAAGUAGGCUCA
rfam:Equus caballus chromosome X, whole genome shotgun sequence.